GUUUAUCGUGAUUUGUGUAUUUGUGGUGAAAUAUCUAUUCAAACCUGUUGCCCGUUUUUAAAUUCAUGUUGCAUGUUUUCUUCUGGAGUUUUAAGAGUUCGUUUUGUAUCUGUUUGGAAGGACUGCAUCAGGUUAUGAUUUGCAAAUACUUUCCCCCAGUGUGUGGUUUGUCUUUCCAACUUUCUAUCAAGUGCCAUUUGAUGUGCCCAAGUUUUUAAUUUUACCGAAGCCACAUUUACCAAUAUUUCUUUUAUAUUAAGAUUUACUGAUUUGUCUUCUUCCAAAAGUUUUAGUUUUUACA